AUUGAACGCUGGCGGCAGGCCUAACACAUGCAAGUCGAACGAGUGGCGGACGGGCGAGUAAUGUCUGGGAAACUGCCUGAUGGAGGGGGAUAACUACUGGAAACGGUAGCUAAUACCGCAUACCAUCGGAUGUGCCCAGAGGGGAUUAGCUAGUAGGUGGGGUAACGGCUCACCUAGGCGACGAUCCCUAGCUGGUCUGAGAGGCUGACCGGCCACACUGGGACUGAGACACGGUCCAGACUCCUACGGGAGGCAGCAGUGGGGAAUAUUGCGCAAUGGGCGCAAGCCUGAUGCAGCCAUGCCGCGUGUGUGAAGAAGGCCUUCGGGUUGUAAAGUACUUUCAGCGGGGAGGCGUUACCCGCAGAAGAAGCAACGGCUAACUCCGUGCCAGCAGCCGCGGUAAUAC
rnacentral:rRNA from 1 species